AUGGCUCUGGCAUCGCCGGUUUUGCUGCAGGUGGUGGCCACGGUGACUGAUCAGGCGGUUGCCGCUCCGGUCCCUGCCGUGGCAGAAGUGCAGGUGGUGAACCCUGCCGUGGCACAGCCUGCCGCGGCAGCUCCCCCUCCACGGAUUCCUGUCGCAGCACAGGGUCCUGCCGCGGCAGCAAUCCCUGUUUCGGUUCCUGCCGUGGCAGCUCAGGCAGGAGUUCAACAACAGCUUGCAGGUGUUCCAGGGAAGGCUGAUCAGGGGCCCACCAAGAAGAAGAAAGAGGACAAGAUGGCUUGCUUUAGGUGCAAGAAACUUGGUCACUUUAUUAAUGAUUGCACCGCCCCCUUUUGUGAUCUUUGUGAGUCGGUUAAUCAUGAUGCCUCUUCAUGUCAUUUGUUGCAUGCUCCGAAACCAGUUGCUAUAAUGCAUGGGUAUGCUAACGAGGCUCUUACUUUCUUUGAGUUGCCAUGUGGUGCUUUUAAGCCUAAAGUUGAGAAUGCCAAGUUAGGUAAAGUAAUUGUUGCUGGAGAUGCAAUGCCGAUUCCAAAGAUUAUUGAGUACUUGAAAAAAAUUGUCCCCUAUGAGAAGUUUGUUUGGGAGGUUUUCCACUACAGAGAUAACAUUUAUCGUGUGAAAUUCCCUAGUAAACAAGAGGUGUUGAGGCUGAAGAAUUUUGGAUUGUACACAUGUCCAUGGAGAAAUUCAGAUUUGAUCUUUGAUGUGUGGUCAACUACGGAGGAGCCACUUUAUAUGUUGCCAGAGGUGUGGGUGAGGGUCUCAGGUUUGCCAGUGGAUCUCAGGAGUGACUACUUGUCCCUAUGGGGCCUUGGUACUUUGUUUGGCAAGACUCUUGAUGUGGACAUGGCUUUUAAUCGUAAAAAUAAGUUGUUAAGAACUAAGAUUGGUUGCUUAGACCAUACCCUCAUUCCUCCGGAGUAUGAUGUCUUCAUAAGGAAUGGAUUCUUUAAGCUUAAGAUGGAGGUGGAAAAGGUGAUGGUAACACAGGAUGAGAACAUGGUUGAUGCUACUAAUGGUCAAGAUGGGAAUGGUGGUGAUGGUAAUGCCAAUAAUGGUGAAGGCAACAACAAUGGGCAACAUGCUAUGGAUUUGGACCCAAAAGAGGAUGGUGCAACAUCAAAUGGUAAUGAGAUGACUAAUGGUGAGGUUAAUGGUGGUGCAAAUGGAGAGAAUGAACAGCCGGUGGAGACUAUUCAGAUUGGGUCAAUUGUGGAUCCAAUAUCUCCUAAAUGUACAAUCUCUAACCCUACCUUUUUGAUAAAAAUUAUGAUCUUAAUUUCCCUUCUAUGCAUGUUGAAACUUAUGGGCUAA
rnacentral:rRNA from 1 species